rnacentral:sRNA from 1 species
GCCGGGCGAGGUGGCGGGCGCCUGUAGUCCCAGCUACUCGGGAGGCUGAGGCAGGAGAAUGGCGUGAACCCGGGAGGCGGAGCUUGCAGUGAGCUGAGAUCCGGCCACUGCACUCCAGCCUGGGCGACAGAGCGAGACUCCGUCUCAAAAAAAAAAAAAAAGACGGAGUCUCGCUCUGUAGCCCAGGCUGGGAUGCAGUGGUGUGAUCUCGGCUCACUACAACUUCCGCCUCCCAGGUUCAAGCAAUUCUCCUGCCUCAG